rnacentral:rRNA from 1 species
UGAGGGAUAUUGCACAAUGGGCGCAAGCCUGAUGCAGCGACGCCGCGUGGGUGAUGAAGGCUUUCGAGUCGUAAAACCCUUUUUCUGUGUGACGAGCAAGGACGGUAGCACAGGAAUAAGUCUCGGCUAACUACGUGCCAGCAGCCGCGGUAAAACGUAGGAGACAAACGUUAUCCGGAGUUACUGGGCGUAAAGGGCGUGCAGGCGGUUUGGUAAGUCUGGCGUGAAAUCAUUCGGCUUAACCGGGUGAUGUCGUCGGAGACUGCCAGACUAGAGGGUGAUAGAGGCGUGUGGAAUUCCGGGUGUAGUGGUGAAAUGCGUAGAGAUCCGGAGGAACACCAGUGGCGAAGGCGACACGCUGGGUCACACCUGACGCUAAGACGCGAAAGCGUGGGGAGCGAACCGGAUUAGAUACCCAUGUAGUCCCUGAGCGGGCUGGCAAGGCGCAU